GGUUUUCGUCCUAGGGGCAUACAGUUUGUGUAUCGGGAA
rnacentral:tRNA from 2 species